rnacentral:rRNA from 1 species
AACGAACGCUGGCGGCAUGCCUAACACAUGCAAGUCGAACGAGACCUUCGGGUCUUUUGGCCCACGGGUUCGUAACGCGUGGGAACCUUCCCUUAUGGUCGGAAUAACUCCCAGACAGGGGUGAUAAUAGCAGAUAAUGUCUUCUGACCAAGGAUUUAUUGCCUUCGGAUGGGCCCUCGUUGGAUUAGCUGGUUGUUAGGGUAAAAGCAUACCAAGGCGACGAUGCAUAGAUUGUCUGUGAGAAUGAUCAGCCACACUGGGACUGAGACACGGCCCAGAAUCCUACGGAAGGGAGCAGUGGGGAAUAUUGGAAAACGGGCGGAAUGCUGAUCCUGUACUGCCGGGUGAGUGAUGAAGGCAUUAGGGUUGAAAAGCUCAAUUACCCGGGAUGAUAAUGACAGUACCGAGAGAAUAAGCCCCGGCUAACUCCGUG